UCGAGAUCAUGAAUGAGGGUUAUUCCAUCUCAGAGUGGUCCAGUGCAGGUUGCUGGACUCGACGUAUCGGCAUCGCGAAAUCGCCAGUUUGGGUUAUACAGCCGUCUACGGAAAGCGCGGUACCUCGGCUCAGGAUAGAACGAGCGCUGAUCUUUUGAUUAUCUUUGGUUGAAAACAGCCGUAUAACCAAAACCCGUCGAGUGCUGUGACACAAAGACGGCCGUCGUCGUUGAACCGAAUAAAUUCCGAUAAACCUGGUGCCUAUGCAAUGCCGAUACGUAGAGGUGACCGCUCAAAAACAAUAAAAAAAAUCAUUCAAGCAACCGACUCUGCAGUUAUCGGACCACUUGGGAUGGGAAUGACCCACGGGGUAUGUGAGUUUCUCAUGUAAGAUCAAAGUCAGCAAGACGGUGACCGACACUUCGGCUCCGUACGAGCGCCGUCGAGAUUCUCGUCGGCGUGCCAUCUCGAGAACAAGCCGUCGAAUGUUCGUAGGAUUUAUAUGGAAUUAUCGCUUGAGUUUCGGAGGCGAUCCAAACAAGGUCACGGCAAGGUCAGAGGUCCGAAAGAGUUUUCCCGUCAACCGCUUGCUCGAAGUAUAUCUUAAGAGUACUUCUAGGCAUAUAAACGAGUAAGAAGAAGAACUAGACGCGGUGCUACGUGUUUUCAUUUUCUGGCUGUGGAACUGACUACGAAUAAAAUAAAUAAAUAAAUAAAUAAACCGCAACGAAUUGACGUGAAAUCUGCUCAUCCCAUGCACCCGGGCGACUGAGUUGUCCACAUACUUCUGAUUUUACACUUCAGGGAUUUUUCAUCGUUAGCGUUUUAUUCUAUUGGGUGACGAAACCAGAUCACUCGACCCAUUUGAAUGACCUCCUUUAUGAUGCCCACGUGAACCAGCAGUAAAUCCGGGAAGACGCUUGUGGGUUGUUUUUUUUUUUUUUUUUUUUUUUCUUUUCGUCUGACAUUUUGCACCACGGGUGGGUUGAUGCCAGCCCUCUGAAUCGAUCACACACGUCACACGCGGCGCCAGUCACUCGGAACCCCGAUUUCAGAUGGUGACUUUCUUGGUAACUCUAUUGACCAGUUGAAAAAAAAAAAAAAACCCCUAGCAUUUGGGGUUAGUAUGUGAAGGUAGUAAUUCCUACUGUUUAUGGGGUUAAUCAUAAACGUGUGAAGUCGGCUUCGUGCGUCUGACCUGAAUAACGUAUGCAACUCGCGUACGUUUAGCAAGCUACCGUAAGGCGCGUCGGCGCUUCAGAGCGUGUUUGUUAGCGGACGCUGUCGUGAGUUUUGAGCUUUCACUUCAGAAGGCGAACUGACGUCGGGUGGGUUCUCACAGUGGAAAUGUGCUUGCAGAUCGCAGUCACGUACGUUGUUGCAUAACGGCGCCAUUGGCGUUUCUGGAACUUCUGCUUCUGGCUGACGUCCAAGGUGUAAAUCCUGCUUCCUUGUGCUAACGGUUCAGCGACGAUCCAGGUACUACAAACAUUCACGCUGGCGUAAAUGACCAUUUUGAUAACUCCGAACGUUUUUGUUUUGAAUUUGUCCGGCGGUCCAUUUCCAACACUCCUGUUCUAACACCAGUACUGACCUGCGUCCAAGUUCAACAGCGUGUCCCGAUCCCUUAAAGCAGACUUUUUCGUCAGUACGGAUUUAUCUCAUGACCAGUAUUUAAAAGUGUACAAUAAUUUUUAUUUCAGAACCUUCCACCAACAGAAUGCAUUGCACUGACGUGAUUUUACGGAUUUUUUUAAAUUAUUAUUAUUAUUGAGGUUAAUAUAUAUUAAUAAAUAUUCGAUUUGAUCGUCACGAGUAAACCCGGAGUCCAUAAAGUUCUGAAUCGAGCUUUAAUUCUAGCCAAGUAGAGAAGCAGUACGUCAAAGCGGCGCAGUCAUUAACAGUCGAUGUCGUGUAAACCCCUUCUCCAGCGUACCCUUGUAAAAACUUUAUGGCGCUGUUCAGACGUCUCUGGGAGAUUUUCAUGUAGAAUCUCGACUCUGUGCCACUUUCCACUGAGCUAAAGUGAGAGUUUAACGCUGAAAACGGUCACGGCCGAACGAGGAGGGGAAUCCACGUUGAUCGAGAGCCGUCUCAAGAUCUGAGCAACGAACACUCCCACCUAAAGAGAGAAACCUUGUAGAGAAAUGACAGCACUUACUGACUCAUCUGCCCAUGGACUUUUUAAGCUGUGGAGAGAAAGCAGAGUGGGAGGGCUUUGUGAUUUCCUGGCACGUAGAACGAGUAUAUAUUCAGCUUAAAGUAACGUAUACCAAAUCCUCCUCUCAGUCGGGGGGGGGGCUUUCUGUUUAUGAAUGGCAACCCACUGGUUCUGUGGGUUUUCAGGGGUGUGUAUGUGUGUGAGAGAGAGAGACAGACUGGUGUAAUGGCUCUCAUUUAGUUGACUCGUUCUAGUAUGUGCAUCGUGUGGUUUUCAUGCCUCUGACAUUUAAUCCCACUGACGCAGUCUGGUGGAAAGCCCUGAGCUUCAACCACUGCCGGGGCUCUUUACAUUCACCGUGACAUGAAUCUGCUCCGACCAGAAACAAUCAAAACUGCCAUAGCACAAAACAUUAACGGCUGUAAUAUCAUGAUGUCGUGGGAUCAGCAGACAAUUUGAUAGAACAGCACUACUCUCGUAUUCUAUUCCUCCGUCAGUAUCAGUGAUGAACACCGUUGCACUCAGAAUGAUUCCACCCCCAUUGCAAAUCAGGUUUAUCGUCUAAACGUACAGACUUUCAGCUGUUCGCCAUGAACCGAUCGAACAGAAGCAAUCGAAAUAGUUCGACACGGCACGGCGAACGCUUCAAGCGGUCCCCCCCCCCCCCCCCCGAAAAUUCAACUGAAAAUGCAACUCAUAAUGAUUUCUCCAGUCUCAGAAUUAUUCACCCUGACGAGAUAGAGUGGACAGUCAGACGACGUCACGUGACCUCUCUACGAUUCGUCAGACGAAAGUCUGGGUACCAGCCCCCGUGCGAACCCAGUCGACAUCGUAGCAGGAGGAAGCGUUGGCACCAUUUAGCUGCACGAUAUCGCCGUACCCACACCAAUGGUUUGAGACCCCGUUACUGCUCGGUGCACCAAAAAAGGAUCCGAAUCCCUGAAUUUACACCAGUAACUGUUGCUACGGUUACACCUGUCGUCUACGCUCCUCCGGCGUUUUCCGACCCGUGAAAACGGGGACUUCUGGAAACGCCGAAGAAGUACACCGGACUCGGCGUAAACAGACCGAAACGGAGACUUUUAUAAACGACGGCGUGGCUCCGCCCACACGAUUGGGUCUUCCACGUCUCAUCGCGUAUCCUUUUGGUCUGUUAAACGGUACGUGUCUGUCGGUCGUAUUAGUUAACGAGCUAGGUAAUGCUCCGUCGAGGCAUUUUUAUGCGACAUCCUAUUUAUUUAGAUAAGGAGUGCGGUCUUUCCUGUUGCCCAAAGUGGUAAACUAAUCCUCGACGCUAAAUAAAUAACAGCGUAAUUAACGGGAGUGCCGCAGUGAAGAAGCAGCAACACGUGCAGGAAGGCGGCGCGCUUUUGAAAAUGAAAUAAAUUAAUAAAUAAAUACUCGGCCUUGAGAUAUUUGUGAAACAUUAACCAGAUAACCCUCAUCAACAAGUUGUUCCGUUCGUUCCGUCGAAUGAAGGCGGACCCCUCGAGCAAGGCCGUUAGCAUCUUAGCACGUAGCUAGCGUAUGCGUGUGCUUUUCCUGCUACGCCAGACGUUUCUGCCAAAUGAAUAAGUAUAAAAUGUUCAACCGGUAAUAAAUCAACGAGCCCAGCUCGGCUGCUCGUCGUGGCGUUCCGAGUCCCGAAGGUGUACGGAUAAGACGACGGCGGUUUUGUUUUUGUGUUCCCACUCUCUGUUUACGAUCAACUCUUUACAAGCGCUGUAAAAGUGAUCACUGACCAGGUUUAGGGUGGAAGCUCGGCCCACGCAGAUCGUACUGUUAAACAGACUGACUCAUAGCAAAUCUCGAAGCUGACGCUUUUUUUUUUUUUUUUUUUUUAUAAAAUGUGUUUUAGAGCAUGCCCUCAAUGAUUUGAAGCGGUGUGUAGGAUUUGUUUCGGUUUUGGAAUUAGUGGAUGUGACCGUUUUGAGUCACGCAUAUUAAUGAACCCCAGUUCUGAUUGUCAGCCAAUCAUUUCCCAAAAUCAGAUUCAUGAAUUUUUUUUUUUUUUUUUUUUUUUUUUUAAACACACGUGUUUUAUUUGUUUUUCAAUUCACACAUUUGAUUUGUAAAUGCUACGCUUUAAGGCAGCGGGGGGGGGGUCGGACUCAUUUUCACCGAGAGCCACAUCAGCAUAAUGGCUGCCCUCGAUGGGCCACGUUAACAUUAUGAAUGUAACAAGAUGCGACGUGAUUGAAAAUAAAUGAACCGACACCUUUAUUAUAUUGUUAAAUAACUGUUCCUGUAUUUAUGUACGUUCUCAACUCACGCACGUGACAUAUGCAUUUGCGCAGAUGUAAAUAAAUGAAGCAAAAUAAAUAAAUAAAUGAGAGAAAUGUUCGGUCUGAAGCCCACACUACUUGAAUCAGUGUUCAAACUAUUAAAGCAAAUAAAGGGAAAUAUUUUAAACAAGUUGUGAUUUUAACCCUCGACUUCAUCCGGAUCUUUUUUUCAG
ensembl:lncRNA